GAUGAACGCUAGCGGGAGGCUUAACACAUGCAAGUCGAGGGGCAGCAUAGGGUAGCAAUACUCUGAUGGCGACCGGCAAACGGGUGAGUAACGCGUAUGUAACCUACCCUGUACAGGGGGAUAACCCGGAGAAAUUCGGACUAAUAUCCCAUAACAAUAUCCGGGGGCAUCUUUGGAUAUUUAAAGUUCCGGCGGUACGGGAUGGGCAUGCGUAACAUUAGCUAGUUGGUAAGGUAACGGCUUACCAAGGCUUUGAUGUUUAGGGGUCCUGAGAGGGUGGUCCCCCCACACUGGUACUGAGACACGGACCAGACUCCUACGGGAGGCAGCAGUGAGGAAUAUUGGUCAAUGGGCGCAAGCCUGAACCAGCCAUCCCGCGUGCAGGAAGACGGCGCUAUGCGUUGUAAACUGCUUUUCCAGGGAGAGAAACUUGCGCACGUGUUGCGCAAUUGACGGUACCCUGGGAAUAAGCAUCGGCUAACUCCGUG
rnacentral:rRNA from 1 species